rnacentral:rRNA from 1 species
UACGGAGGGGGCUAGCGUUGUUCGGAAUUACUGGGCGUAAAGCGCGCGUAGGCGGCUUUGUAAGUUAGAGGUGAAAGCCCGGAGCUCAACUUCGGAAUUGCCUUUAAGACUGCAUCGCUUGAAUCAUGGAGAGGUCAGUGGAAUUCCGAGUGUAGAGGUGAAAUUCGUAGAUAUUCGGAAGAACACCAGUGGCGAAGGCGACUGACUGGACAUGUAUUGACGCUGAGGUGCGAAAGCGUGGGGAGCAAACAGGG